GUCUACGGCCAUACCACCCUGAACGCACCCGAUCUCGUCUGAUCUCGGAAGCUAAGCAGGGUCGGGCCUGGUUAGUACUUGUAUGGGAGAACUGUGGGUACCGAUGGAU
rnacentral:rRNA from 1 species